rnacentral:misc_RNA from 1 species
UUUCCGUAGGUGAACCUGCGGAAGGAUCAUUAACACGUAUCCACGUUAAUCACCCGAGAACUUACUUAGGAUUAGUCUGAGGACCUUCGAGUAAAAAAGCCUUCGGCUUCGGCUUUAGGCUUCCGGCCCUUUGAUGACCGCUUACAACAUUGUUGUAAGAGGUGACCGCUAACUUCAAAUGGGACAUUGAAACCUCGGCGUUCCUAAGCUGGUAAUCAACUCUUCGGAUUUGAAUACCAACAAGAACCUCGAGAGGAGUCUCUCGGGACUCCUCAAAGGGUUCUUGACGAGUAAACCCCUUUUUCUUUUUUUUUUCUUUUGCCUUGUGCAAAGGAGAAAAAAAAAACCCUAAAAGCCGUCUCUUUGUGGACCGCUUUUAACCGAAUACUGUACAACUCUUAGCAACGGAUAUCUUGGUUCUG